rnacentral:lncRNA from 1 species
UGGUGGUGGUGGUGGCGGUGGCGGUGGCAGUAGCGAUGGCGGCGGCGACGACGGUCACGACGACGGCGACUAUCUGUCUGUAUGCCUAUACGCCUGCCUUCCUGCAUGCCUGUACAUCUCCUCCUCCUGCGGCAGCUCCCCUUCUUCUCCUGCUCCUGCUCCUGCUCCUUAUCCUUCUCCUCUUUUUUCCUCCUUUUCCUUCUUCUUCUCUUUCGUCUCCUUCGUCUCCUUCGUCUCCUUCUUCUUCGGCCUGUCCUCAUCCUCAUCCUACUUCUGUUCCCUCGUCCACCAUACCCUUUGCAUCCCUCCUCUCGCAUCCGCGCGUUCCUCGUGUUCUUCCGUCUUGUCUACGGGUUACAGGAUCCACCUACGCGCCUCCCUUCGACUACCUCCCUUUCUUCUUUCCUUCCUUCCUUUUGUUUUUUUCGCGUCCCUCGCGCGGAAGUUUAUAGCAGAGAAUUUUCCGGUUUCGCCGGCUGCGAGAGUUCAACAAGACUUGCCCGAUCGAGCCGAGACCACGGAGCUUACGCAUAUGCGAUCAAGUAUUGUUGAAUUCGCGACUUUUCCCCCCUUCGUUUCGUCAUAUUGGCGUAAAUUUCUCCAAACGAUUUACUUUCUAAACGUUUUACUUUCACGAGAUAGCUCUGCAGUGUCCAAAUCUCCGCGAUCCCGCUCGAUCGUUUACCUCGCGACAUUUAUCUCAAACAGACACGUAUCGGUUUUGCACGAUUACUAUUGAUAUAAGUUAUUAUUAAUAUACGUUUAUUUACGGAUAAAAUAGUAAUAAUAUAUCGCAAAAAUGAUUACAUGCAUUGCGAUUUUAUUUAUUAAUUUUAUUUUAAAGAACACUCUUGUACAUUCUAUUUACAUGACGACACUUGUUUAUUUACAACACGUCCGUAAACGAUAUGCGACCAAGUUAAAUUUCAUCAUUCCAGAAACACCAUGGAAAUAUAAAAUAGUCAAAUUAUACUGUACAAUCAACGUAUGGGUGUACAUGACUAACAAAUAAAUUAGUAAUCGGAAUAUCAAACAAUCUAUCGGGAUUAUGUGGGCAGGAACGCUAGUCUUAAAAAUGCAAUAUUCGAUUAAGAAUCUUAAAUGGAAGCUUCUUAAUUUCGGCAACAAUCUCGAUAGCAUCUCGUGGAACUGAAUCGCAAAAAAGGUACUUGUGAGAAAGACAGAUAGCUUCGGUCUUACAUAUCUCGCCACUGUCCAAAGACACGGAGGGGGUUGACGUUAAAGCAGCGACUUCCGGUUGUUUCGGAACGUGUUCGGCGCGAGCGGGAAUGAACGAGAUGACGGCCGUUGAAAUGUCUGUCAGAGUCGCGGUAAAUCAUCUCGAGCGACGCGCGUGAGAGACAAGAAAAUUCGGCACGCGAAGACAAUGCGAUAUACACACCGUUCCAGCGACAAGGUGCAAUGGUGAUUGGUGGAUGCACCGCUGGUCCACGUCUCUUUUAUACCUCGCGGCUCGGCGCGGCGCGACCCCCGACAAAGCGGUACCGCCCCCUGGACACGUGACGAUGCUGGAUCUGCCACCAGGGAUACUAUGCGCUCCUUGCAGCGCACCCCGUCGCAACUACCCGCUAGACUACCCCACUACGGAAGCCCGCACCCUCCUCCCGUCCUUCCUCGCGCGGCGAUGCACUAAUUGAUAUCAUUACGCCAAGUCCAAGUAUGUGUGUAGACUUUGCGUCUAUCGCUCGCGCGAUAUGAAUGAUGGGGUAUCUUAUCUCGAUGGCGCGUAACAAUCGUAAAACGAUUGCCCCCUGGCUGUCUUACUCUUUCGACUUACUACUUUGUCAGGUUUCUCUGUUUGCGCGAUUUUGAAAGCUCGAUUGGCUGAUUUUCACAGUCGUUAAUCAUUGGCAAACUUUCUUUAUCAGAGGCUCAAUGAGAAUAAUUUAUGUAUUUGUUGAAAGACUAGGUUGAUCACAUCGGAAUAUCUCUGGAAGCAUAUCGGAAUAUUUUUGGAAUUAUGUCGGCCAUAUUCUUGAACGAUUGUUCAAGUCGAAGAGAAAUGUCAUUGAGGAUGGCUGGGAGAGAUAACGAGAUAGCGAAAAGCAGGAAAGGGAUGCAAGAUAGAAGGAACGCAGGGCGAGGCGCGAUCAUCGGAAGGAUGAAGAAAGAGAGAUGAAGACAGCGAGAGCUUCUUUCCUUUGUGCUUGCAUGAUCUCGUCUUUGAUCAAUCCUUCCACUACAAAAAGUCACCGAUUGAUCGAUCUCGGGAAGUGUCGCGCAGAGAACUUACUCCGGGGAUUGUUCGACUACUAUGCAGUCUAGACUUUCUUCAAUAAACGGCCCACCAGACUGAAUCACCCUUCGUUUAUCAACGGCUGUCUUUGCGCGGAUUUCGAUAACGCGUUCUAGUGAUCGCGUUUCUUGCAAUUUCCCGAUGACACGAGACUCUUGGAGACGCGACCCUUCAUUCAUACUCUGCUGGAAGUCACGAGUCAUCGGCGAUGGACCGACUCGAUAUAGUCGGAGUCAGUCUGUAAGAAAAGACAAAAACUCGCUGGAACAGGAAUGGAAGAAAAUAAAACGCGAAUGUCACCGAUUUGAUCGAUUUAACAUACAGUUGAGAGAAAAGAGAGCAUGCAAAACAACGAAUCGAGAUGCUCUACAACUGGACCUCGAAAGUCGCGGGAUGUAUAAUGCUGAUGAACGAGCGUGCGAUGAAUGCAGGUUGGCAGGAUGUCCCUGGUCGCGUGAGGAUCGCGUGGCGACAGCUAAACAAUAUAUGUAUUCUAAAAACGAGGCAGAGCGAUAAAGAGAGGAAAAAAACAGCAAGUAUAAGGAACGAUGAUGACGAGGCGAGAAAAAAAAAUGAUUGUACCAAGAGCCAACCACGUCCGCCUGGUAAUUACGAUUACUAUCUAUGAGUAGCCAGUGACUGUCCAAGUAGCGUGAGAAGAACAACCGUUGAAGUUCUCCAUGCGAACUGGUUUCACGCCUCCUGGUUCCGUUUGCAAGUGCACGUAGCCGAUCACGUAGACGUUGCAGAUACUCGGGAGAGGAACUCCAACCUGCCAGAGUUAUCUUCCCCUCGCUAAUCCACGCAUACGUCUCUUCGGAUAGGAAAACAACUGGAUAUCGAUAUUAACUUUAUUGGACGACCAAUUUUUGAAGAAACAAGCACGGGGGAGGCGAAUUACCCGCGCCAUGUUUAGUACAAAGUUAAUCCAAUCUAUCCAACUCUCCGGGACGUGGACGAUGCUCCGUGAUAUCGCAGGAUAUCCGAUCGUUUUUCAUCGCAAUUCAUGAUACAACUAAGAGACAAGCGAAAUAAGGCACAUGUAGUUUAUGGGAAAUGGAUGCGGUCGACAAUUGCCGAAUAAAUGUGGAUCGUUUCGGAAAAAUAGGGAAAAACGAGCGCGGCCAGACCAAGUUGGUUCUCUAUCUUUUCCUCCUUCAGCCAGUGGAGGGAUGCAUCAAGGCCAGAUGAGGCCUGUCCACUAGUAAAAGAGGGCCGAAAAAUGGCUGACAGGCGGAUUAAAUAUAGUUGCCAACGAGGAAAUCAUAGUUUCAGUUUUGCGCCAAGUUCUCUCUCCGCCAAAAUCCAGUGAACCCGUCGCUCUAUUUAGGCCAAGUGGCAUCCCCGUCUACGCUCCAAACAAGACCGUAUCUACUACCGUCGUUACUUGACUUACUUAGCACGAAGAAAAGAAGAGACAAAAAGACUCAAAGUGAAAACGGACGCGUGAGCGUAUAAUCUCGGAAGCAGCAACCGGAGAAUCGGAAGUGAGAAUCGGACAAAGUACGGUAUAGGACGGGGCAGAGAGACCGUACGCUUAGCCCGAUGAGAUGUGGACGUAGAGAUGCAGACGAGGUACACGAACAGAGGUUUAUGCAUACCGAUCGUACGCAUACAUGGACGUCACACGUUCUAACCGCGCGCGAGCGCACCUCCCGCGAUAAUCCUGUGAUGGAUGUCUCUAGGUAGUCGGUAAGCCCUACCAGCCAGACUGUGUUCGGUAUAUCGGUGUGUUUACCCAGACGGAAGCCGUCUGGCGGCGAUAGGGCAACCGACGUCUCCCGCGUGAUGGAGUUCUCUCUUAUCUAUCCGAUGUCAUCAGCGCUAAAAAUAAGAUAAAAUAAGAUAAAAGGAAACAAAAAAAGAUGAAAGAGAGAAAAGGAAAUUUCUCUAAAUAGAAAAGAAAACAAACGGAUAACACGAGAGUAGAGAGAAUUUUUUUCUUCAAGAAGACUCGCAUAGAAAGAAGAAAUAAUUGUGAAAAACUAAAGGAGGUCAAUAGAGAAUAAGGUUUGCCCCGAGCUCCAAUGCGGACUUGUCGAAGCGAUCGAAGGAAGGAUAGACUGAAUCCUCAGUGCAUUCCUGCAGCCUCUACCUCUCUGCAUUACGUAAUAGCAAAACGACCUUGCGUUCCAUCGUAAUGCCUGAGAAUGGCAGAGAACCACGUACAUCUCGCGAUCAACUUCCGCCAAGUCCCUCUAUUUCUCUCUCUUUCUUUUUUUUUCCUUUCAUCGCUAUCAUUGUUUUCGUCGGAAGAGAAAAGAUGCGGCGAAUAAAUAGACGGCGCGGCAAGAAAGAAAAUAAGCGGUGAGAAAUAAAAGGUGAGCGGCAACAACAAGUUUUCGCGAGACACAAUCCCGUGUGUCUCCGUUGUUUUCGCGUAUGCAGUGCGCUUGCAAAACAUGUCUCUCCAUUCGAGAUCAAUGCCAGAUAUAACGUCUACAAAGAAAUAUAAUUAAAGAGAAGUAAAGGGGUAUAAUUUAAGUUAAACCUAAGGCGGAUUAAUUAACUGAUUCCAUCUGGACUUGUCCUGCAGAAUAAAUUGUUUUGCGCAAUUUUUCUCUCGACGAACUGUUUACAUCCUUUAACAUUAUCUUAUUUAGCAAGUUCCGUCUUAUAUACAUAUUGUGUUGAUCGUAUCGGUCGAUCGACGAUUUACGUUUCCGCGGCAAAAAAUCAGAGAGAGAUAUCUCUUUUAUAGACUACGAUUUACGGAAGCAACGGAGAAUCCUUAUUAUGUUAGCCAGUAACUUGAGAUUAUUUAUCGCGUCAUUAAUCAGACGAGUUUUUCCCGCCAGUGAGAAUUGUAAACCGCAAACAGAUGCAAUAUGGAAAUGGAUGUAAAUCGUAAAAGGAGGUGUACGCGCUCGCGUUGUAUCCGUGAAAUGGCAGUCGAUAUUCAGGGAAGUCCAUAAAAUGAAAUCGUUGCAGUUUCCGGAUGCAGUUUGCGAUUAUUUCACGGUCCGAGUGUUCGCUACAAACAUUGAUUGCGGUUUAUGUAUAUAAAGUAUAUUCAAAAAGAUCGUAACAUUUACACGACUAUGAGAAAUCAGACGAGAAAGAGGAAUGCAACUUUGCAAUCUCGUUAUCUACUCCAUCAUUUCAUUGAGAAUUUUCAGACUACUAGUCGCUAAUUUUAUUUUAUGUAUUUUUUUUUAUUUAAAUGCGAUUAUUACGAUUGGCAAAUGAUACAAUGAGGUGAUCGCAACAACAAAUAAAUGUAUUUCGUGCGAGAUGGCAAAGCGCACCUUUGUAAUUCGUAAUCGUACGCACUCGUCGGCCGGUAAAGCACUCAGAUAAAUGAAUCCGCCGAGAUUUUAGCCCCGUUAAAGUACAGCAUGGCCUUGCGUACGCAGAGGCCACGUAACAUAGUCCUCUUCCGCGACGCUUUUAUAUCUCGCGGUUUACUGGCAAUCGUCAUUCGCGGGCUUUACAAUGUGUCUGGUUUACGGGCUCUCAACCGUCUCAACGAGUGUCUCCUUUCCGUUUCUCGGCUCCUCUCUUUCUCCGUCUCUGUCGUUUACGAUAUAGGUCACAUCUCCGUGAAACGCACUCGAGGCUGCAACUCUCCGCGUGAGCGGCGCGCGUAAAGACGACGGUGAUGUAAAAACGAAUCCAAUGUAAAAGCGAAAUGGCUGUCUACGAUGGCAAUGCAACGGUGAACGUCAAUACGCUAGAUAAGAUCAGCGAACGAGAGUGAUCUCGAAUCUUAUUCUGACGAGCGAGUUUUUUCUUCUGCAAGAUUCCUUUCCUUCCUCAAGGCGCGAUAUUAACAAAAAAUUAAAAGCUCGAAAAUAAACUGAAUUUAGUUCUUGCAAUCGUGAAGAAAUAAAAAAAAUAUAGCCGGAUCAGAUAUUUUGUAGAUCGAGAUUUUAAACUCAAACUAAUUUUUUGCAAAGAGAAAGGAGAGAAAAAAGAAUGCAAAUAAUAGACUAGAAUAUCGAUGAUAUAUAAUUUAAAGUCCACUCUUGGAGAGUUUACUCGUUGAUUAAAAAAAGAUUCAGUUUUAUUAAUAUCCUUAGUUUUUAAAUAAAUGACAUUUCCGUCACGUGCGUGAUCAGAAUUUAUUUCAAGACUAAUAUUCUCGUGUUUUGUGCGUACUGUCAUUGCGUCUAAUUGUAUUAAAAAAAAAAAUUGUUAGCCCCAACGUCUACAAGCUACAUAAUGUACAAGGUAUAUUCCACUGUCCUAAAGUGGCGGUGUUUUACGAGCAAAACCUAGCGGGAAAACAUUACGUCUGAUGAACGCGAGGUUGAACGUAUGUUAAAGGAAUUCUUACCGAAGAAAAAAAACCGGGACAUUUCGUAGAGGCAGCAAAACAGUAAAACGCCAGAUGACACGAUGAUGAAGACAGAUGUGCGCGAGCGAGAUGUAAUCCGUUAAAUACGAUACGUUAUAUAUAUAUGCGUUAUAUAUACAUAAUUAAAAUUAAGAUCUGAUUCUUCUAUCGAUAAUGAAAAUCUCCUAUUUCGAUAAUUAAAGUUUCGAAUACAAAUGCACGCUUUCGUUCGAACUUUUCUUUCAAUCUCGCGUUACACACAUUUGUUUAUUUAAAAGAAAAUCAAAGAGAGAUCCCCAUGGGAACCAUGCUACGUAGAAAAUACAGCCUGCGUCUAACAGCGACGAUGCUUUACGAGCAAAAAGCGCGAGCGGCUCUCUAUAUCUAGCGGAAGCAACGGUUUGAACGGCGGGGACAAAUUUGACAAAAAAGAUGAAACGGUGAGGGUGGGGAGGAGAGGGGGGAGGGGGGAGAGAGAGAGAGAGCAGGCUGGGACAACAGGACGAGCAAAUGGGUGGUGAGGCGACAGUGGACAGAAGUACAGACGAGAGAAAAUAACAGUCCCCUUAUAUCCCACCCUUUAAUCCUUUUACGCGCACAAGCACCACCGCCGACUGUAUGCAAUGGGGCAUACGAUGCGUCUAGACAAAAUAAUGAUUUGGAUUUCAAUACAUUUGCAUUCAUUACCCCCCUCUCCUCCUCCCCCUCCUCGGUACCCACCCGCGAUCCGGGCGGUCUCUUCUUUCGCCAUUCCGCAUUUCGCAGAGUUACGCUCGUUAUCAUACGAAUGCUCUGCUCCGCAGCAACGCCGCUCAUUUCGUUCGCCGUCGAAAUGCGACACGACGGGGGCAACCCAGGAUCCAGAUCGGCGCGAUGCGACCGAAGAUAGGGGAGAAAGGGGGGAGAGAUCACGGAUUUCCCGCGAUCGCCCGGCUAAUGAGUCGUGUGUGUGUGUGUGCGCGCGCGCGCGCGCGUGUGUGUGUCGGCUCUUCUUGAUUUGUUUUCCUUUUUCAACACACAUGCGCGUCGCGAGUCUAGUCCGGAUCGUAUUAAAUUAGAAGUAUUUGAUGCGCUAUUUUGAAGUAGAUUAACAAUUCGGCUAUUCUUUCCUUUUAUGAGCACUUGUUAUGUAAUAUGCAACCUAUAUUUGCCGUCAUCUUUUUCAUAUUAGUAAUCAAUUCAAUGAUGAGAUAAAUGUUGGUGAUUUUUCGCGGGAUAAAAAUUAAUAUAAUUAUUAAGCUUAGAUUAAGAAGAACACUCACGGGUUCCGUUAUUCCGUCCCCGUCUUUGCCUAAGGAGUGACCUUCGGACCAACCCAUUUUCGAAAGUAUUUUGAAUCCUUUAUUAUCCUUCGCGAUCGAUCUGAUUGAAUAAAUAUCUGCGUUAGAACUUUGGAAUAUUUAUACAGGACGCGUUUAUCUUUUUAUCUAAAUAUUAUAAUGUACUCACGUGUGGACAGAA